UAUUUUCCCCAUAGCGGUGGGGUGACUUCCCUGGUCACCAGAGCAGUACCUGCAUGUUGGAGUUACCUUUGCCUUUUCUAUAAGUUUUACCAAAUCAUCCACUUAGGUCCUUUCACUUGUACCAUUCCUUCAAAUAAAGUAAUUUGAUACCC